rnacentral:rRNA from 1 species
UACGGAGGGGGCUAGCGUUGUUCGGAAUCACUGGGCGUAAAGCGCACGUAGGCGGACUCUUAAGUCAGGGGUGAAAUCCUGGAGCUCAACUCCAGAACUGCCUUUGAUACUGGGAGUCUUGAGUUCGGGAGAGGUGAGUGGAACUGCGAGUGUAGAGGUGAAAUUCGUAGAUAUUCGCAAGAACACCAGUGGCGAAGGCGGCUCACUGGCCCGAUACUGACGCUGAGGUGCGAAAGCGUGGGGAGCAAACAGG